rnacentral:rRNA from 1 species
CUAAGAGCAAACGGUGGAUGCCUUGGCAUCUGGAGCCGAAGAAGGACGUAUAAAUCUGCGAUAAGCCUCGGGGAGCUGAUAAUAGAGCUGUGAUCCGAGGAUCUCCGAAUGGGGAAACCCCGCCAGGCCCUUUGGGUGACCUGGUGACUCCCGCCUGAAUAUAUAGGGCGGGUAGAGGGAACGUGGGGAAGUGAAACAUCUCAGUACCCACAGGAAGAGAAAGCAAAAGCGAUUCCGUUAGUAGUGGCGAGCGAAACCGGAAGAGGCCAAACCGAUCAUGUGUGAUAUCCGGUAGGAGUUGCAUGGUCGGGGUUGCGGGACUUUCCGUACAGUUCUACCGAGCUGUGAGGGCAAUGAGCGCGAUAUAGACGAAUGGUCUUGAAAGGCCAGUCAUAGAGGGUGCGAACCCCGUAGUCGAAAUGUCGUCGCCUGUCCGGAGAGUAUCCCAAGUAGCACGGGGCCCGAGAAAUCCCGUGUGAAUCUGUCAGGACCACCUGAUAAGCCUAAAUACUCCCAGAUGACCGAUAGCGGACAAGUACCGUGAGGGAAAGGUGAAAAGUACCCCGGGAGGGGAGUGAAAUAGUACCUGAAACCGUUUGCUUACAAACCGUUGGAGCAUCCUUGUUGGUGUGACAGCGUGCCUUUUGAAGAAUGAGCCUGCGAGUUAGUGAUAUGUGGCGAGGUUAACCCGUGAGGGGCAGCCGUAGCGAAAGCGAGUCUUAAUAGGGCGUAUGAGUCGCAUGUUCUAGACCCGAAGCGAAGUGAUCUAUCCAUGGCCAGGUUGAAGCGACGGUAAGACGUCGUGGAGGACCGAACCCACUUCAGUUGAAAAUGGAGGGGAUGAGCUGUGGAUAGGGGUGAAAGGCCAAUCAAACUUCGUGAUAGCUGGUUCUCUCCGAAAUGCAUUUAGGUGCAGCGUUGCGUGUUUCUUGCCGGAGGUAGAGCUACUGGAUGGACGAUGGGCCCCAAAAGGUUACUGACUUCAGCCAAACUCCGAAUGCCGGUAAGUGAGAGCGCAGCAGUGAGACGGUGGGGGAUAAGCUUCAUCGUCGAGAGGGAAACAACCCAGACCACCAUCUAAGGUCCCUAAGCGCGUGCUAAGUGGGAAAGGAUGUGGAGUUGCAUAGACAACCAGGAGGUUGGCUUAGAAGCAGCCACCCUUGAAAGAGUGCGUAAUAGCUCACUGGUCAAGUGAUUCCGCGCCGACAAUGUAACGGGGCUCAAGCACGCCACCGAAGUUGUGGCAUUUAUAUUAUAGGCAGGCCUUCGUGGUCCAGCCGUAUGGAUGGGUAGGAGAGCGUCGUGUGGCCAGCGAAGCGGCGGUGUGAACCAGCCGUGGAGGCCACACGAGUGAGAAUGCAGGCAUGAGUAGCGAAAGACGGGUGAGAAACCCGUCCUCCGAAAGACCAAGGGUUCCAGGGCCAGGCUAAUCCGCCCUGGGUAAGUCGGGACCUAAGGCGAGGCCGACAGGCGUAGUCGAUGGACAACGGGUUGAUAUUCCCGUACCGAUGAAGAACCGCCCAAGACAAUCCAGUAAUGCUAAGUGUCUGAAUCCUUGAUUCGAUCCCUUCGGGGUGACGGUCUUGGCCUAGCACACGACCCUACGCUGGGGCGUUUAGCGUAUUAACAGGUGUGACGCAGGAAGGUAGCUGAGCCGGGCGAUGGUUGUCCCGGUCUAAGGAUGUAGGGCAGAAGAUAGGCAAAUCCGUCUUCUAUGUAGCCUGAGACCCGAUGGGUAGUCCUCACGGACGAAAUCAGUGAUCCUAUGCUGCCGAGAAAAGCAUCGACGCGAGGUUCCAAUCGCCCGUACCCCAAACCGACUCAGGUGGUCAGGUAGAGAAUACUAAGGAGAUCGAGAGAAUCGUGGUUAAGGAACUCGGCAAAAUGCCCCGUAACUUCGGGAGAAGGGGGCCUGAGGCGUGUAGGGAUUUACUCCUGAAGCGUUUGAAGGCCGCAGAGACCAGUGGGAAGCGACUGUUUACUAAAAACACAGGUCCGUGCUAAGUCGCAAGACGAUGUAUACGGACUGACGCCUGCCCGGUGCUGGAAGGUUAAGAGGAACGGUUAGCACGCAAGUGCGAAGCUGAGAAUUUAAGCCCCAGUAAACGGCGGUGGUAACUAUAACCAUCCUAAGGUAGCGAAAUUCCUUGUCGGGUAAGUUCCGACCUGCACGAAUGGCGUAACGACUUCCCAGCUGUCUCAACCGCGAACUCGGCGAAAUUGCACUACGAGUAAAGAUGCUCGUUACGCGCAGCAGGACGGAAAGACCCCGUGACCUUUACUACAGCUUGGUAUUGGUGUUCGGUGUGGCUUGUGUAGGAUAGGUGGGAGACUGUGAAGCUCGGACGCUAGUUCGGGUGGAGUCAUUGUUGAAAUACCACUCUGGUCACUCUGGAUAUCUAACUUCGAACCGUAAUCCGGUUCAGGGACAGUGCCUGGUGGGUAGUUUAACUGGGGCGGUUGCCUCCUAAAAAGUAACGGAGGCGCCCAAAGGUUCCCUCAACCUGGUUGGUAAUCAGGUGUCGAGUGUAAGUGCACAAGGGAGCUUGACUGUGAGACUGACAAGUCGAGCAGGGACGAAAGUCGGGACUAGUGAUCCGGCAGUGGCUUGUGGAAGCGCUGUCGCUCAACGGAUAAAAGGUACCUCGGGGAUAACAGGCUGAUCUUGCCCAAGAGUCCAUAUCGACGGCAUGGUUUGGCACCUCGAUGUCGGCUCGUCGCAUCCUGGGGCUGGAGUAGGUCCCAAGGGUUGGGCUGUUCGCCCAUUAAAGCGGUACGCGAGCUGGGUUUAGAACGUCGUGAGACAGUUCGGUCCCUAUCCGCUGCGCGCGUAGGAAAUUUGAGAAGAUCUAUCCCUAGUACGAGAGGACCGGGAUGGACGAACCUCUGGUGUGUCAGUUGUUCCGCCAGGAGCACCGCUGAUUAGCUACGUUCGGAACGGAUAACCGCUGAAAGCAUCUAAGCGGGAAGCCGGCUUCGAGAUGAGAUUUCCAUCCCUUUCAGGGUGAAGGCUCCCGGCUAGACUACCGGGUUGAUAGGCAGGAUGUGGAAGCGAGGACUAAAGACUCGUGGAGCUGACCUGUACUAAUAAGCCGAUAUCUUGAAA